rnacentral:rRNA from 1 species
UGCCAGCCGCCGCGGUAAUACGGAGGGUGCAAGCGUUAAUCGGAAUUACUGGGCGUAAAGCGUGUGUAGGCUGCGUGGAAAGUCAAAUGUGAAAGCCCGGGGCUCAACCUCGGAACUGCAUUCGAUACUCCCGUGCUAGAGUAAUGGAGAGGUAAGUGGAAUUCCUGGUGUAGCAGUGAAAUGCGUGGAUAUCAGGAGGAACAUCAAUGGCGAAGGCAACUUACUGGACAUUUACUGACGCUCAGACACGAAGGCUAGGGUAGCAAACAGGAUUAGAUA